rnacentral:misc_RNA from 1 species
GAUGAAGAACGUAGCGAAAUGCGAUACGUAAUGUGAAUUGCAGAAUUCAGUGAAUCAUCGAAUCUUUGAACGCACAUUGCGCCCGCCAGUAUUCUGGCGGGCAUGCCUGUUCGAGCGUCAUUUCAACCCUCAAGCACAGCUUGGUGUUGGGACUCGCGUUAAUUCGCGUUCCUCAAAUUGAUUGGCGGUCACGUCGAGCUUCCAUAGCGUAGUAGUAAAACCCUCGUUACUGGUAAUCGUCGCGGCCACGCCGUUAAACCCCAACUUCUGAAUGUUGACCUCGGAUCAGGUAGGAAUACCCGCUGAACUUAAGCAUAUCAAUAAGCGGAGGA